rnacentral:miRNA from 1 species
CCAAAUUAUAAUAGUUUUGUUUGUGGAAACACCACGUAAAUUUAUUAAUUAUUAAUAAUAAAUUUACGUGGUGUUUCCACAAACAAAACUAUUAUAUUUUAUCACC